rnacentral:rRNA from 1 species
UUUAACGGCCGCGGUAUCCUAACCGUGCAAAGGUAGCGCAAUCAAUUGUCCCGUAAAUCGGGACUUGUAUGAAUGGCUAAACGAGGUCUUAACUGUCUCUUACAGGCAAUCGGUGAAAUUGAUCUCCCUGUGCGAAAGCAGGGAUGCACACAUAAGACGAGAAGACCCUGUGGAACUUUAAAAACAGCGACCACCCCAAAAUACAUCCACCCCCACCCCGGGCUCACUUAUCCCACGGGCCACUGGUUCGCAUUUUUUCGGUUGGGGCGACCUUGGAGCAAAACAGAACCUCCAAAAAUUAGACCAAACCUCUAGACUGAGAGCAACACCUCAACGUGCUAAUAGCACCCAGACCCAAUAUAAUUGAUCAAUGAACCAAGCUACCCCAGGGAUAACAGCGCAAUCUCCUCCAAGAGUCCAUAUCGACGAGGAGGUUUACGACCUCGAUGUUGGAUCAGGACAUCCUAGUGGUGCAGCCGCUACUAA